rfam:Oryza glumipatula chromosome 1, whole genome shotgun sequence.
AAUAAGUGUAGUUUUGCACUAUUCAUCUUCAACGUUUGACCGUUCGUCUUAUUUGAAAUUUUUUUUAUAAUUAUUAUUUUUAUUGUUAUUAGAUGAUAAAACAUGAAUAGUACUUUAUGUGUGACUAAUUUUUUUAAAAUUGUUCAUAAAUUUUUCAAAUAAGACGGACGGUCAAACGUUGGACACGGAUUUCGACGACUGCACUUAUU